CGCUGGCGGCGUGCCUAAUACAUGCAAGUCGAACGGUCUUUUCUAUGGAAGCUUGCUUCCGCUGAGAAGAUAGUGGCGAACGGGUGAGUAACACGUGGGUAACCUGCCCAUAAGAGGGGGGAUAACAUCCGGAAACGGGUGCUAAUACCGCAUAGUUUUCUUGAUCGCAUGAUCGGGAAAGGAAAGACGGCCUUUGUGCUGUCGCUUAUGGAUGGACCCGCGGCGUAUUAGUUAGUUGGUGAGGUAACGGCUCACCAAGACGAUGAUACGUAGCCGACCUGAGAGGGUGAUCGGCCACAUUGGGACUGAGACACGGCCCAAACUCCUACGGGAGGCAGCAGUAGGGAAUCUUCCGCAAUGGACGAAAGUCUGACGGAGCAACGCCGCGUGAGUGAAAGAAGGUUUUCGGAUCGUAAAACUCUGUUGUCAGAGAAGAACAAGUUGGAGAGUAACUGCUCCAGCCUUGACGGUAUCUGACCAGAAAGCCACGGCUAACUACGUGCCAGCCGCCGC
rnacentral:rRNA from 1 species